GACGAACGCUGGCGGCGUGCUUAACACAUGCAAGUCGAACGGAAAGGCCCUUCGGGGUACUCGAGUGGCGAACGGGUGAGUAACACGUGGGUGAUCUGCCCUGCACUUUGGGAUAAGCCUGGGAAACUGGGUCUAAUACCGAAUAGGACCACGCGCUUCAUGAUGUGUGGUGGAAAGCUUUUGCGGUGUGGGAUGGGCCCGCGGCCUAUCAGCUUGUUGGUGUGGUUAUGGCCUACCAAGGCGACGACGGGUAGCCGGCCUGCGAGGGUGACCGGCCACACUGGGACUGAGAUACGGCCCAGACUCCUACGGGAGGCAGCAGUGGGGAAUUUUGCACAAAGGGCGCAAGCCUGAUGCAGCGACGCCGCGUGAGGGAUGACUGCCUUCGGGUUGUAAACCUCUUUCAAUAGGGACGAAGCGCAAGUGACGGUACCUAUAGAAGAAGCACCGGCCAACUACGUG
rnacentral:rRNA from 1 species